rnacentral:sRNA from 1 species
CCAGCACCUGUCCAGUGAAACAACUUGAUAAUCGUUUCGAGGGGCGUCCGCCGGGUUAGGAGGCCACUGCCUGGCAGCUUGUGGAAGCCUCAUUUGCAACGCCACCCCUCAGAUGUUUUGAAGAUCGUGACGUCUUGUAACUAGCAGUGUGUGCACAGAAUCCUACUCAAGGAACGUCUUGGCCCAGCGAUGCAAAGAACUGAAGUUUCAAGCUGGAAGAGCCUGUAUUGUCCUCACAAUAGUAUAGAAGAAUUCAAGAGAGGAGAGAGAGACAGCACCGAAUGAAGACUGUAAAAGAAAAGAAGGAAUGCCAAAGAUUGAGAAAAUCUGCCAAGACUAGGAGGGUAACCCAGAGGAAACUGUCUUCAGGGCCUGUUUGCUGGCUAUGCCUUCGAGAACCUGGGGAUCCCGAAAAAUUAGGGGAAUUUCUUCAGAAAGAAAAUAUCAGCGUGCAUUAUUUCUGUCUUGCUGGGUGCAGUGGCUCAUGCCUGUAAUCCCAGCACUCUGGGAGGCCGAGGCAGGAGGAUCUCUUGAACCCAGGAGUUCAAGACCAGCCUGGGCAACCUUGUCUCUACA